CAGGCUUAGGGGCUCAGAACGCAGCGCUCUGGAGCGUCUCCACCAUGGCCUGGGCUCUGCUCCUUGUCACCCUCCUCACUCAGGGCACAGGUGA
rnacentral:pre_miRNA from 1 species